UACGUAGGGUGCAAGCGUUUGUCCGGAAUUAUUGGGCGUAAAGAGCUCGUAGGCGGUCUGUCGCGUCGGAUGUGAAAAUCCAGGGCUCAACCCUGGACCUGCAUUCGAUACGGGCAGACUAGAGUUCAGUAAGGGAGACUGGAAUUCCUGGUGUAGCGGUGAAAUGCGCAGAUAUCAGGAGGAACACCGGUGGCGAAGGCGGGUCUCUGGGCCGAAACUGACGCUGAGGAGCGAAAGCGUGGGGAGCAAACAGG
rnacentral:rRNA from 1 species